rnacentral:lncRNA from 1 species
CCAUGUCUGACUCUUUGCAACACCAUGGACUCUAGCCCACCAGGCUUCUCUGUCCACGGGAUUCUCCAGGCAAGAAUGCUGGAGUGGGUUGCCAUGUCCUCCUCCAGGGGAUCUUCCUGACCCAGGAAUCAAACACGCGUCUCCUAUGUCUGUUGCAUUGGCAGAUGGGUUUUUUUACCACUAGCGCCACCUGGGAAGCCCCCCCAUUAUGAUUUUACUAAGCAGCUACUAUGUGCCAGACUCUGGGCAUGGCACCUUCCUCAUAUUUUCUCCUAACUUUUAUAACAGCCCUAGGAGAUAAACACUGUUAUUCCCAUUUUACUGAUGAGGAAACUGAGGCUCAAAUAAGUCCUCCUGAGGCUACAGGCUAGCUGCUAUCCACCAGCCAGGCAUCAGGACUCUGUCAGACAUAAACAGGCUGAGGCUUUGAGCAGAAAAGCCUUAGACUAUUUCAGAGGAGGAGAUUUGCAUGCUCAACGCGGAUGUCUUCACCGGAGUAAACAUUUCCAGGUCAGAGCGCCUUCGGGAGAGGAAGGAGGUGGCCCCCCAGCUCCAGUCUCCUUAACUGCACCCUGGGAAGUCUGCACACUGCCUUUCUUUCUCCCCUCCUGGUGGUCUAAUCUGGAGUCAGAUCCAGCCGCUGGCUCUCGCAGAUGGGGAAGGACUGCCAGCCAACAGGAAAACAACAGGUUUCUAUAAUUCAUCAUUCAGUCCCUUCUGAAAACCUAGAAUGAGAGUUUAGCAGCUCAGAGCCCCGGCCUCUCUCCAUUCUCUCCCCAAACACAUCAGCUUGUUUGUUCCCUUUCAUCCGGGCUCUUCCUGUCGCAUUCUGCCUGUUCAAUGGGGAAAGAGUGAAACCGGAUGGCUGGACCCAGUGCGGGGAAAUGACUUCAGAGCCACCUUUGUUUCCCUCAUUCCUUUGAGCACACUUGGCCCCCGCGUCUCUAUGAAAGGGCUUGUUUGAACCAUUUGGAACAUCUCGCGAGUGGGAGAUGCUAUGGCCAGAAUCGCUCACAUCUUUUCAGGCUGCCUGAGACUGGGUGAAACUGCCAAAUUUUUGCAACAAAACUAACCAUGACAUUGGACAUUGUGUUAUAAAUUAGCCACAGCCUUCCAAGCAAAUUGUCUCUUUUCAUUGUGUCAGUGUAAGCCUUUGAAACGUUUGGCUCCAGCUACUGACUUUGGAGAGACUCAGAGAAUAUUUUUGUUCGGCCCCAAACCAGCCCUUCAGACACUAAGCUGCAUGGGCUAAUAUAUGUAUCUUAGUUGACAGCUCUUCUUACCACACUUACUCAGAAGAUUCCUGUUGGUUAUAUUUCAUUUCUCUGCCUAAAAUUCGGUUAAUGGGCUUCUCAGUUUUGAUGUAGCAGGAACCAUCUCCAUUUGUCUUUGAAACAAAAAGAUGUACUUCUCUUUUCUUAGGCUUUUCACAAUGAUUAUUGGAAGUUUCUUUGAAGGAGGAGUUCUUUUCAGAACUCCAGUGAGAGUUAUUAAAAUGUGUUACUAUGUUGCUCUAGGUGACAUAUAGAAUUUCAGCAUUCAGUACUCACAGAAGCAAUGAAAAUGUCUAUUUCUGUUAAAUCACUCUGUGUUUUUUUUAAAAAAGAAAACAUCUAUGCAUCCACUUGAGCUCUGUCACCAACAGCCAGAUCAAGUGUUUGUUAUUAAAAGGAAAUCUGAAAAAGAAAAACUCAAAUGCUAUCUCAUUUCUUUUCUUACUUUUCGUUUAACUUUUUUCCACAGAGAAGAUGGCAGGGGACACAUUUGGACUUAAAAAGUAAUUUUGAAGUAGUAAACUUCAUUAAAAUUGAGUUGAGAUGACAGUUACCAGAAAUAGAAUAAACCUUCUUACAAUAUGUGCA